GUAGGUGGCAAGCGUUGUCCGGGAAUUAUUGGGGCGUAAAGCGCGCGCAGGCGGUUCUUUAAGUCUGAUGUGAAAGCCCACGGGCUCAACCGUGGAGGGUCAUUGGAAACUGGAGAACUUGAGUACAGAAGAGGAAAGCGGAAUUCCACGUGUAGCGGUGAAAUGCGUAGAGAUGUGGAGGAACACCAGUGGCGAAGGCGGCUUCCUGGUCUGUAACUGACGCUGAGGCGCGAAAGCGUGGGGAGCAAACAGGAUUAGAUACCCUGGUAGUCCACGCCGUAAACGAUGAGUGCUAAGUGUUAGGGGGUUUCCGCCCCUUAGUGCUGCAGCUAACGCAUUAAGCACUCCGCCUGGGGAGUACGGCCGCAAAGGCUGA
rnacentral:rRNA from 1 species